rnacentral:lncRNA from 1 species
GCCUUCAGACUCAAACUAAACGUCAGCUUUUCCCGGCUCUCAAGCCUGCUGGUCCCUGAACUAAAACUCACAUUAUCAACUCUACUGGUUCUUAGGCCUUUGGAGUCAGACUGGAACUACAGCAUUGACUCUUCCGGAACUCCAGCUUACUGACUACAGAUCUUGGAACUUUUCAGCUUCCACAACCAUAAUGAAAGCCAAGCAUAUUCCAUCAUUUCCUAAAACCAAGAUAGAGCACAUAUGGGAACUUGUGAAAUAAGGAUGCCCUGCGGUUGUUUUCAGGACUGAAGACAACAGCUCCACGAUGUAUCUUUGCAUAAGAAUACACUUGUAUAAUAAGUUUUUUUUUUUAGAGAAAUUGCAUGUAUCUGCCUUAUAAACUUUUUCAUUCAUUCAUUUUCUUUCUUCCUAAUCUGUUCCAUAAAGCAAAUUUCUAACUUAUUGUUAAUCAAAAUAAUUAUUGAAAUAAUUAGUACUUUCAUAUGAUAAAGAUUAUUUUAAUCUGCAGCUACAAAAUAUGUAACUCAUUAAUAUUUAAACAAUCACAAUUUUCUAUUAACAUUAUAGCAUUUUAUCUACUACUAGAUCAGGAAUUAGCUAUUUUUUGUAAAAUUUCUUUGUAAGGCAAAGCAAUAGUAUUGUAUAUACUUUCCUAAAGAUUGUCAAGUUCAGUUUUGCUUAAAUUUAACAGUACAUGUGACACUUUCUGUUUGAAGAAUAAGUUGGUUUUAAGUUUAUACCAAACAAAAGCAUCUCUUUUGUUUUGCAAAAUCUGAAACUUUGAUCUUUCUAGUUGUGACUUCUUGUAAAUAUGUUUUAUAUAAAUAUUCUAUGAAUUGGUUAUUAACAAGGUAAAGAAAGAUUGAUAUGUAAGCUGAUUCUUAAACAUUAAUUUUCUGGAGAUAAACUUUUUUAAAAUUAUGCUUUAAAAAUAUUUUAACACAUGUUAUCAAAAAGGAACUGAAAUAUCUUAGGCAUAAAAGACAUCUCUAGAGGUCAUUAUUCAGUUUCCAGAAAGUACUGAAACUAUCUCUGACAGAUUGAUACGUUUUCUGCAUUUAUAGCUCUCUGGAGAGAGGUUCUGUAUAUUUAACAAUUCUCACUGUGAGGGAUAUUUUAAGUAUUUCAAAUUUAAAGUGCUCAUGUUUCAGAUUCAGAUUAUUAUUAUCAUCAUCAUUAUUUUGGUUCUGGCUUCAGUAAAAAUGUGAAAAACACUUUUCCAUCUUCUGAUAAUAUUUCAUAUUUAUAAAAUUAUUAUUAAGUUAUAACUCAGCUUUUUCAUUUAUGCUUUAAAUCCUUUUAUUAUCUCAUCACAACCAUCUUUGACUGUUUAUCAGAAAUGGUUCUCUUUUGUACAUUGACCAUUAUUUUAUAGAUCACAUUUAAGUUAAUAUAAAUCAUGCCUAUAAAUUUCAGCCUGCUUAUUUUUUAUAAUCUAGUCAGAUAUCAGCUAGACAUAUUGUUACCAAGUUUGGAGAGCCUUGGGAUAAGCUAGUUUCAAAACUGGCUGUUAGCAUCCCUCAGUUGUGUUUUGGGAGCAAAGGACACCCUUAAAAAAGGGAGGCAGUUAUAUUUUGUGAGCAUUAUAAAAUAAACUUAAAUUCUCAUAAAAUUAGUGAAUAUGUUUGGAACAGUGUGAAUUACGUGUGUGCUACAUGAAGUAUAUAGAAUUCAUUUGAAGUAGGAAGUCUGGCCUUACCUCAAAAGACAGUCAUUCAAUUAAGCAGUUAAACAUAAGCCACCAUAAGAAGUUUUUUUGAUACUUAGAGAGAGAAAGGCAACGUGUAUUAAAAUUCCGGGACCAUUAUCUCAGGAGUGCUGUGUUAUUAUUGACUGGGGGCCUGCUGGGAAGCUAGAAAUAUAUCUAAAAUGUGGCAGGUGGUUAAUUAGAGCAUAUGAAUAAAUAUAUAUAAAUUUGUUAAAGCGUUCACUUAUGGUAAACUAUACCUCAAUUAAAAAGAAAAAAUAUGCACAAAGAAAAUAAAUAAUGAAUGGAAAUAUGAGCCUCUAAAAUCAAAGUUAGAAAAGCAGAUAUUCAAAUUUGCAGAGCUGAUUGUCAACUGGAAUGAUUGUGAUAGAAUCAAGUCUCACUAGCUCAUUGGAAAUAGGAUUUGUUAAGGUAAUGAUGGUUAAUGAUUUUUCAGCAUAAUAACAGCCAAGUUAAUGUAUGGGUGCGUGUGUGUAUCCAUAGGUGUAUGUUUUUACAUGCGUAUUUUUAUUGUAAAAUUAACAUGUUUAUUGAAAACAAGAAAGCACAGAAAAUAUCAACUUAAGUAAAGAUCAACAUAAUUUAGUUCAAAAUUAUAUUCAACAGUGCAUUAUUUCAAUGUUUUUUAUCUUAAUCCAUUUGCUUGAAAGCAUUGAUAUAUGCUCCAAAUUUCCUCCCAGAUUCCACUUGGGGAAAUAUUUAGUAUAUUGGAUUAUGAAAUGAUUUAUCUUUACCUAUAUUAUUAGUAAAGUUCUUAAAAUUUUUAGCCUGUUACUGUCUAUGUGAUUAGUGAUAUUGUUCACAUGACUAAAAUUCAAAGAUAAAAUAUGAUUAUAUUUUAUGGGUGAAAGUUAGGAAGCAAAAUAGCAUAUUAAUACAUUUAACUAAAGUAGUAUUCAUUUGGAUAAUCAAGGUCAAACACUUCAAAAAUAAUAAUUUUAAAGUUAAUGCUUUCAAAAAAUAAAUUAGCAAAAAUUAUUUACUUUGUUUCUUAAAAAGAAGAAUUAUUGAAAAAAAUUCUACCAUCAAAAAAUAGUUGUUCUAUGCCUAGUUUAUUUUAGUCACUGAAUAAGACUGAGCCCUUGACCUCAUAUUUUUUCCUGCCUCACCAUUAGCAGUUAGGUUUAGCUAUGCAAACCUUUAUUUAUUCAACAUAUAUAAAAUACUUAGUAUGCAGUAGAUGUUAUUCUAAGUGCUUGGUAGAUAUCAACACAUUUAAUAAUCAAAACAACUCUAAGAGGUAAUUAGUACUAUUAUCUCCAUUUUAUUACUGAGGAAACCAAAGCACAAAGAGAGAAAGAAAAGAAAGAGAAAAAAGGAAGAAAGAAAAGAAAGAUGAAAGAAAGAAAGAGAAAGAAGAGAGAGGGAGAGAGAGAAAGAAAGAGAAGGAAAGAAAGAAGGAAGAAGAAAGAAAGAAAGAAAGAAAGAAAGAAAGAAAGAAAGAAAGAAAGAAAGAAAGAAAGAAAGAAAGAAAGAAAAAAGGAAGGAAGGAAAAGAAACACAUGGAAAGUGACAGGCUCCCUUUGUAUAUCACCUUGCAUGGUAAAGUGCAGAGAGCUCCAUCAGAGAAAUGCAGUUAAAAUCCAGUAGAUACCACCGUACACCUGAAAGACUUGUGAACAAACAGAUGACAGAAAAACAAAACAAAGCAAAACAGAACCUGAGAAUUUGAAUUGCUGCUUCUUUGGACCUUUUAAGUUGCAUUAUCCCAUAAAAUGUGGUGGAUUCAAUGUUGUAUGGCCUGUAAAACUAAGUAAUGAAGGCUGAUAUGUACCCACCUGGCUCUGUCUUGGGAUCACACAACUUGGGAGCCAAAACAGGUAUAAUUGUGAUCUCUUCCCAGGAAAAAGAAUGAGACUUGGCUGUUCUAAAAAACUACAGCUUGUCCUGUGGAGAACUGUGAUUACUUCUGAUGGAAAAUGACAGGCUGAAUGCCAGAAGGCAAAGCAACUGUUUUCCUAAGAGUCUUAAGACCCUGAAGGACUUGUGCCUCCUUUGGUGAUCUAGGGGAUAAAGAAGUGGAAUGGAAAUGGAGAGGAAUAGCUGGAACAAAAAGGCAAAGAGGUAUAAUCUAUCAUAAAUAUGCCGCCUUUAUAAGCAUGUGUGUACCAAAAAAAAGCCACAAACCAUAUAAAGUGAG